UACGGAGGGAGCUAGCGUUGUUCGGAAUUACUGGGCGUAAAGCGCGCGUAGGCGGCUUUGUAAGUUAGAGGUGAAAGCCCGGGGCUCAACCCCGGAAUUGCCUUUAAGACUGCAUCGCUUGAAUCCGGGAGAGGUGAGUGGAAUUCCGAGUGUAGAGGUGAAAUUCGUAGAUAUUCGGAAGAACACCAGUGGCGAAGGCGGCUCACUGGACCGGUAUUGACGCUGAGGCGCGAAAGCUAGGGGAGCAAACAGG
rnacentral:rRNA from 1 species